GACGAACGCUGGCGGCGUGCUUAACACAUGCAAGUCGAACGGAAAGGCCUCUUUCGGGGGGUACUCGAGUGGCGAACGGGUGAGUAACACGUGAGUAACCUGCCCUUGACUUUGGGAUAACUUCAGGAAACUGGGGCUAAUACCGGAUAGGAGCUCCUGCUGCAAGGUGGGGGUUGGAAAGUUUCGGCGGGUGGGGAUGGACUCGCGGCUUAUCAGCUUGUUGGUGGGGUAGUGGCUUACCAAGGCUUUGACGGGUAGCCGGCCUGGGAGGGGGACCGGCCACAAUGGGACUGAGGGACGGCCCAGACUCCUACGGGGCGCAGCAGGGGGGAAUAUUGCGACAUGGGGGGGAGCCUGGUGCAACCACCCCCUGGUCGGGAUGACCGGCCUCGGGGUUGAAACCGCUUUCGCUCAUGACGAAGCUUUGUGUGACGGUAGUGGGUAAAGAAGCACCGGCUAACUACGUG
rnacentral:rRNA from 1 species